AACGAACGCUGGCGGCGUGCCUAACACAUGCAAGUCGAACGGAAUUAGAGAGCUUGCUCUUUGAUUUAGUGGCGCACGGGUGAGUAACGCGUAGAUAAUCUGCCUGACGAUCUGGGAUAACACUUCGAAAGAGGUGCUAAUACCGGAUAAGCCCACGGGUUCUUUGGAAUCUGCGGGAAAAGGGGGGGACCUUCGGGCCUUCUGUCGUCAGAUGAGUCUGCGUACCAUUAGCUAGUUGGUAGGGUAAAGGCCUACCAAGGCGACGAUGGUUAGAUGGUCUGAGAGGAUGAUCAGCGACACUGGGACUGGGACACGGUCCAGACUCCUACGGGAGGCAGCAGUGGGGCAGUUUGCGCAAUGGGCGAAAGCCUGACGCAGCAACGCCGCGUGAGUGAUGAAUGCUUUCGGGUCGUAAAGCUCUGUCAAUGGGAAAGAAGUGUAUUUUGGCUAAUAUCCUUAAUACUUGACGGUACCCAUAAAGGAAGCACCGGCUAACUCCGUGCCAGCAGCCGCAGUAAUAC
rnacentral:rRNA from 1 species